GACGAACGCUGGCGGCGUGCUUAACACAUGCAAGUCGAACGGAAAGGCCCUGCUUGCCGGGUACUCGAGUGGCGAACGGGUGAGUAACACGUGGGUGAUCUGCCCUUCACUUCGGGAUAAGCUUGGGAAACUGGGUCUAAUACCGGAUAGGAACCAUCUUUAGUGUGGUGGUUGGAAAGUUUUUUCGGUGUAGGAUGAGCUCGCGGCCUAUCAGCUUGUUGGUGGGGUAAUGGCCUACCAAGGCGGCGACGGGUAGCCGGCCUGAGAGGGUGUACGGCCACAUGGGGACUGAGAUACGGCCCAGACUCCUACGGGAGGCAGCAGUGGGGAAUAUUGCACAAUGGGCGCAAGCCUGAUGCAGCGACGCCGCGUGGGGGAUGAAGGCCUUCGGGUUGUAAACUCCUUUCGCUAGGGACGAAGCUUUGUUGUGACGGUACCUAGAGAAGAAGCACCGGCUAACUACGUG
rnacentral:rRNA from 1 species